GCGGCCGCAGUCUCAGCUCUGGGCAUCUGGGGAACCCAAGCGGCUUCGCCCAGGCAUUCGCGCGGGCGCCCGCGGUCUGGGUCCCACCUCCUCUGCUUUCGCACCCUUGAAGUUUUGGAGCACCAGGAAAAGAGGGCAAGGAAGGAGAGGGGAAGCGAAAGCAUAUCCUAAAACAUUUACUUAAAGGAGGAAAGAAAAGGGGUCGCAGAAAUGGCUGGGGCAAUUAUAGAAAACAUGAGCACCAAGAAGCUCUGCAUUGUUGGAGGGAUUCUUCUGGUUUUCCAAAUCGUUGCCUUUCUGGUGGGAGGCUUGAUCGGUAAGUGUGAGAGCUGCAAACUUUCCCCCUUUCCCUUUCUUCGGCCCUUCCCUCUUUUGCCUCUUGGGCUACUUGUUACAGUAUCGCUGCCUUGCCUCUAUGAUCUAAUUAGUCCGGCUAUUGUGCUUAAGAAAGCAGAGCUCCAUGGGGCUCCAUGGGGCACAAUCCAGUCUAGUGGCAAAGAGAAAAGGAGGGGAAAAGUUUUGGCCUAGUUUCAGUAUCCACUUGAAAGGCAGGAGGGGGUGGGGGUGGAUCUUAAGCAUGGCGACGGAUCGCGAGGAAGUGCUGGGUCGCAAAGUUGAUUGCUCCCCCUGCUUUCCCUCGCUCGCCCCCCUUUCCCUCUCGGUUCCCUUCCAAUCAGCUCCGGGAGGGCAACGUAAUCGACUUUAUUAGGAAUAACAGGAGACUCGGGAGCUAAGCCCAGUGCCAGCCGCGAGCUGUUACUGGCUGUGGCUUGUGUAAAUGCAUUAGGUUGUCUCGGCGAGGGACUGGGGCUGGUUUUAGGGUCUCAACCUUUAAGCCCUUGGCUUCCCUGCCGCCACCCCACCCACUUCUGGCGGGGACUAGUUCAAACUGAGGACUCGAAGUCGGAUGGAGUGGCGUGGCUUGGGAGUCCUGGCCCUCUCAGCACGAACUUGGAGAGGGCGUAGGAGAAAGAUGGUCGGAAAGGUGUUGUUGCUUUUGCCUCUUGUCCCCUCUGCCAUCUCUCCUCCCCCUCUGCUUUGAGCCCCAAGAUCCAGUGAGUCCCAAGCCUGAGGUCCUCCCUGGCGCCAGGAGGACGUUUCCUGCUCCCUCCUGGGCUGCCCUCAGGUGACAGCUCCCAGGCGCCAGGGAGACUUUGUCAGUGCGCACCAACCAAAAAAAAAAAAAAAAAAAGAAAGAAAGAAAGAAAAAGAAAAGGAAGAAAAGGAAGAAAGAAAGAAAGAAAGAAAGAAAGAAAGAAAGAAAGAAAGAAAGAAAGAAAGAAAG
rnacentral:lncRNA from 1 species